GGGGAAUUUUCCGCAAUGGGCGAAAGCCUGACGGAGCAAUACCGCGUGCGGGAGGAAGGCCCUUGGGUCGUAAACCGCUUUUCUCAGGGAAGAAGACCUGACGGCAUACCUGAGGAAAAAGCCUCGGCUAACUCCGUGCCAGCAGCCGCGGUAAUACGGAGGAGGCAAGCGUUAUCCGGAAUUAUUGGGCGUAAAGCGUCCGCAGGUGGAAUUGUAAGUCUGCUGUCAAAGACAGAAGCUCAACUUCUGAUAGGCAGUGGAAACUGCAAAACUAGAGUACAGUAGGGGUAGAGGGAAUUUCCCAGUGUAGCGGUGAAAUGCGUAGAGAUUGGGAAGAACCACCGGUGGCGAAAGCGCUCUGCUGGGCUGUACUGACCCUGAAGGACGAAGCUAGGGAGCGAAGGGAUUAAAUUCCCUUGU
rnacentral:rRNA from 1 species